rnacentral:rRNA from 1 species
GAUGAACGCUGGCGGCGUGCCUAAUACAUGCAAGUCGAGCGAACGGACGAGAAGCUUGCUUCUCUGAUGUUAGCGGCGGACGGGUGAGUAACACGUGGAUAACCUACCUAUAAGACUGGGAUAACUUCGGGAAACCGGAGCUAAUACCGGAUGAUAUUUUGAACCGCAUGGUUCAAAAGUGAAAGACGGUCUUGCUGUCACUUAUAGAUGGAUCCGCGCUGCAUUAGCUAGUUGGUAAGGUAACGGCUUACCAAGGCAACGAUGCAUAGCCGACCUGAGAGGGUGAUAGGCCACACUGGAACUGAGACACGGUCCAGACUCCUACGGGAGGCAGCAGUAGGGAAUCUUCCGGAAUGGGCGAAAGCCUGACGGAGCAACGCCGCGUGAGUGAUGAAGGUAUUCGGAUCGUAAAACUCUGUUAUUAGGGAAGAACAUAUGUGUAAGUAACUGUGCACAUCUUGACGGUACCUAAUCAGAAAGCCACGGCUAACUACGUG